rnacentral:rRNA from 1 species
UACGAAGGGGGCUAGCGUUGCUCGGAAUCACUGGGCGUAAAGCGCACGUAGGCGGCUUUUUAAGUCAGGGGUGAAAUCCUGGAGCUCAACUCCAGAACUGCCUUUGAUACUGGGAAGCUCGAGUCCGGGAGAGGUGAGUGGAACUCCGAGUGUAGAGGUGAAAUUCGUAGAUAUUCGGAAGAACACCAGUGGCGAAGGCGGCUCACUGGCCCGGUACUGACGCUGAGGCGCGAAAGCGUGGGGAGCGAACAGG